rnacentral:rRNA from 1 species
CCUACGGGAGGCAGCAGUGGGGGAUAUUGCACAAUGGGGGAAACCCUGAUGCAGCGACGCCGCGUGUGGGAAGACGGUCCUCUGGAUUGUAAACCACUGUCCCCAGGGACGAAGAUGACGGUACCUGGGGAGGAAGCUCCGGCUAACUACGUGCCAGCAGCCGCGGUAAUACGUAGGGAGGGAGCGUUGUCCGGAAUUACUGGGUGAAAAGGGAGCGUAGGCGGGACUGCAAGUUGGGUGUCAAAUCUACCGGCUCAACCGGGAACCGCACUCAAAACUGCAGGUCUUGAGUGAAGUAGAGGCAGGCGGAAUUCCUAGUGUAGCGGUGAAAUGCGUAGAUAUUAGGAGGAACACCAGUGGCGAAGGCGGCCUGCUGGGCUUUUACUGACGCUGAGGCUCGAAAGUGUGGGGAGCAAACAGGAUUAGAUACCCCGGUAGUC